AUCUCAGUGUAUGUACAUGAAAACACAUGUGCAUUUGUCCAUGUAAAGUGUACAUACACAUGCACGUGUGUGUAUGUGCUUGUGUGUGUGUGUGCGCACGCAUGCAUGUGUGUAUUCUCCAAGGUGAUUCUGAUGUGUAGUCAGGAGGCACACAUGACCAAAUAAACCAACCAGCUUCUUUCUGAUAACUGGGAUGCUCAUUGCUUUGCCCAGGACGGUGACAGCCAACCUCUGCUGCCCAGGGUCCCAGCUGAUAAGCCCACCCCUUUUCCCUCUCGUGUGUCGUGGUCUGGAUGAUAAAUUCUCCCUUCCUCUGCUGAUGAGGAACUGAGGCUUUGGGAGGCUCUUUUCCUUCCGAAAGAAACUGCAUAGAGCGUCCACCUUGGGCUUUCAGGGUUCCCUUGGGAGUCUUGUGGAACAUGUGCCUCCUCCUUCAAGAGAGAAUUUCUUCAUUUUGCUAGGAUCAUAAGACCUUUCUUCUUUUUCUUUUUCUUUGUGUUUUUUGUCUUUUUAGGGCCGCACCCGCAGCAUAUGGAAAUUCCCAGGUUAGGGGUCGAUUCGCAGCUGUUGCUACUGGCCUACACCGCAGCCAUAGCAACACAGGAUCCGAGCCACAUCUGUGACCUACACCUCAUCACAUGGCAACACGGAUCCUUAAUCCACUGAGCGAGGCCAGGGAUCAAACCCACAUCCUCAGGAAUACUAGUCAGGUUCAUUACGGCUGAGCCACGACGGGAACUCCAAGAGCUCUUCAGUAGAGAACUCCACUGUGUUGCCACGUAACCCACCUGAGUUUUGCGAUCCCGAGAUCUCCCAUCUCACCUGAAUCAUGGAUGCCAACCACCUUUCAGCACUGUUUCAGUUGCUGCAGGCACCUUCUCUGGAAUGCCAGCCAUUGUAACUGAGGAAAUGACAUUCGGAAAACAGAUGACCCGCUUAUCAACCUCUCAGAACUUAUUCUCCGAACACCAUGCAGGGCAGUGUGGCCCUUGCUGGACAGGACAUCGCUGAUGACAACGUCUGUGAGACCUCUGCCCAACAGAACAUUUGACGUCGACCGAGAGAUCUGACCUGUCACUGCUUGGACAGCCGCUGCUGCCAACGUCGGUGGAGACUUUCUCGGCCAGUGUCAAAUCUGAUUUUGGCAUUGAGGUCGGCGUAACUCAGCAUAAACAUGCCCCUGAAGAAUUAGGACACUUCUCAGCUAGUCGUCUGCCUUUGGGGGGUACACAGGAAGUCGGUAUUCAGUACCCAUGGGAUGCUGUGGGUGUGACACGUGUUUUCUGUGACAGUCAUUUGCAUUUCUCCUCAUCAUUGGGUGUACCGUUCCGCUGACUCAAUCAGAAGUGCCCAUCUCGGAAGAUGAAACACUUCCAUUGAAGGACAUCAGAGGGGAAUAAAGGACAGUGGACGUUCCUGUCCCCCCGCAUUAAUGGCUUCACCGCCUCGGGCGAUCCAGGGGAUGUAUGACACCCCAAAGAUGCAGUGUUGUCCGGGAGACUGCAGUCUUCACGGUUUUAUUUGCCACACAUUGUGGGUGAAAGAGACGGAUUUGAUCUUCUUUUGCAAGGUUCAGGAAAACCCUUUGCAAAAUAUGCUGAUGCUUUUCUUUGAUUGCAGAAUUGCAUUAGUCUCACUGCUGAUGGUAGAAAUGUGUUGGGCUGGUCCACAUGGCUCCUCAGCACACCGUGGGCUCCUGUUACUCAAAAAAAAAAAAAAUAAGUGUAGGGAGUUUCCUGGUGGCCUCGUGGUUGGCGACGUGGCAUUGUCACUGCUGUGGCUUGGGUUCCAUCCCUGGCCUGGGACCUUCUACAUGCCUCGGUGCAGUGAAAAGAAGAAAAAAAAAAAAAGAAAAAAAA
rnacentral:lncRNA from 1 species